AUUGAACGCUGGCGGCAGGCCUAACACAUGCAAGUCGAGCGGAUGAAGGGAGCUUGCUCCUGGAUUCAGCGGCGGACGGGUGAGUAAUGCCUAGGAAUCUGCCUGGUAGUGGGGGAUAACGUCCGGAAACGGGCGCUAAUACCGCAUACGUCCUGAGGGAGAAAGUGGGGGAUCUUCGGACCUCACGCUAUCAGAUGAGCCUAGGUCGGAUUAGCUAGUUGGUGGGGUAAAGGCCUACCAAGGCGACGAUCCGUAACUGGUCUGAGAGGAUGAUCAGUCACACUGGAACUGAGACACGGUCCAGACUCCUACGGGAGGCAGCAGUGGGGAAUAUUGGACAAAGGGCGAAAGCCUGAUCCAGCCAUGCCGCGUGUGUGAAGAAGGUCUUCGGAUUGUAAAGCACUUCAAGUUGGGAGGAAGGGCAGUAAGUUAAUACCUUGCUGUUUUGACGUUACCAACAGAAUAAGCACCGGCUAACUUCGUG
rnacentral:rRNA from 1 species